AACUUAUUUUAUCAGAACUGCUUCUUAUUGUGAAGAUCAGACAAGAAAGUGAAGAUAAUAGUUACCGUUUUUGUGUAGAUCGCAUCUCUCCCCAGCGUUUCUGAUAGUUUUGUGAUUUGCUCUGACAUUUUCUAGCGCAGCCCUGACUGCAGGUACUUGACGUCCUGUGAGAUGAAGCAGGACAGCUGCAGGAACGUCUCGCGCGCCUUGGUGGGAGUCUCCUCGGCCUCCGAGCACACUAGCUCCACGUCCAGAGUGCCGCCGAAGUACUG